rnacentral:lncRNA from 1 species
UUGAUGGUUGUCCGAAUAAGGUGUAGUGGUUCUAUGGUGAAGGAGAAGAAGAUGGUGAAGACUCAGAGGAUAUUAAAGGCCUGAGGAAGAAGACGAACUCGCAGCGGAGGAAGAAGAUGAACUUCACGAUGGUGUUGUUGUGUUGUGCGGUAGCCUGAGAGGCGUUGAAGGUGGCCAGGGAUAUGUUUCACUUCUAAAUAUGCCACGUUUAAGUAAUUAGACACUUCAGCCCACCACUUGUGCAGAAAGUUAACUCUGUUAACGAAAUUUGACGGCAG